rnacentral:rRNA from 1 species
UACGUAGGGUGCGAGCGUUGUCCGGAAUUAUUGGGCGUAAAGAGCUCGUAGGCGGUGUGUCACGUCGUUCGUGAAAACCUGCAGCUUAACUGUGGGCGUGCAGUCGAUACUGGCAGGCUAGAAUUCGGUAGGGGAGACUGGAAUUCCUGGUGUAGCGGUGAAAUGCGCAGAUAUCAGGAGGAACACCGGUGGCGAAGGCGGGUCUCUGGGCCGAUAUUGACGCUGAGGAGCGAAAGCGUGGGGAGCGAACAGG